rnacentral:rRNA from 1 species
AUGGCUCAGGAUGAACGCUGGCGGCGUGCUUAACACAUGCAAGUCGAACGGGAAUUGCUUUUAGCUUGCUAAGUGCAAUUCUAGUGGCGGACGGGUGAGUAACGCGUGAGUAACCUGCCCUUUACCGGGGGAUAACACUUAGAAAUAGGUGCUAAUACCGCAUAAGCGCACGAUAUCGCAUGAUAUUGUGUGAAAAACUCCGGUGGUAAAGGAUGGACUCGCGUCUGAUUAGCCAGUUGGCGGGGUAACGGCCCACCAAAGCGACGAUCAGUAGCCGGCCUGAGAGGGUGAACGGCCACAUUGGGACUGAGACACGGCCCAAACUCCUACGGGAGGCAGCAGUGGGGGAUAUUGCACAAUGGGCGAAAGCCUGAUGCCAGCGACGCCGCGUGAGUGAAGAAGUAUUUCGGUAUGUAAAGCUCUAUCAGCAGGGAAGAAAAUGACGGUACCUGACUAAGAAGCCCCGGCUAACUACGUGCCAGCAGCGGC